CUGGACUCUUGGCACAGGUUCGUGAUAGACAAAGGCACUCAUAGUUCAGAGAUCAGUCUGGCAGCAGGUUACACAAUAUCCUUGAGCAAUGGUUUUCAGGCGACUCAUGCGCCUUGGGGUUCAGGGAUCAGUCCCACAUCAUGCUCACAAAGUCACAACCCUUGGGUGUUUGUUUCAAGGCGACUCACGCAUCGGAUAAAGAUAAGACUAACCCACGGAGUUUUUAUGUCAGAUAUCAGGCACCAUGAAUUCAGAACCCCUGCUUCGCCCUUUCCUCAUACCUGUUCUUCUCAACCU
rnacentral:lncRNA from 1 species